UUAUUAUUAUUAUUAUUUAAUAGCCUGCACCCACCAAAUAGUAUAAUCGAUAAAUGUACAUCGCUUUAUGGAGAAACAUACCAUCGCUAUAAGGAACUAACUUUGUUCCAAGUGCUAGGCAAGGUGAAGGAAGCAUUGCUAUUAACACCAGUCAAUUCGUCACUUCAUGUUUGUACGCUUGAAAAAUCCAGUUGAAUGAAUUAGCCCGUCCCCAUCGCUGCGAUGUCCGCUCCUCUGCAAACAUGGAAGAUAGCAGCACAAGCCCACGCAAUCAAUUGCUUCUUUUAACGUUCAGGACCCCCGGAGAGCAGCGGGAUUCUGAAUUCUCAGACAUGUGGCUCCUGGAGUAAGCCUCCAGCUUCCGCUUGCUCUUCUGAUGGCCGACUCCGCUCUCCCUCAGCGGCAGGAUCUCCACAGGCUUCCGGCCUUUCACAGAUUCAUGCGCUGAGCCGAGGGACCCGGAGGAAUCGAUCAAAAGAAGCUGCGGCCCAGCGGAGGGAACCGUCUGUGAAUGUCACACUGAGCCGCUCUGCCUCCACACCCAGCUGUCUCCGAGGAGCUAAACCAAGGCAAUGUCAAAUCACGAUGUACUUAUGAUAACACAUACACAGGGAACAUACAGAAUGAUCUUUAAUUGGUUAUGAAAAUUAUAAACUGAAACCUUCUGAAGGUAAGCUAAAAAGGUAGUUGUUGAACUUGUGCAUAGCACUGUGUAUAAAUAAUAAACAUAAUAAUAAUAAAUAAAUAAUAAUAAUAACAAUAACAAUAAUACAUAAAUAAUAAUAAUAACAAUAAACAUUAUUAUUAUUAUUAUUAUUUUUAUUAUAUAGGGUACAUCUUAAAAAUUUUCACAGAGCAUAAAAGUGAAAUAAAAGGUAAAAGUAUACAGAACUUAAAUGUGAGUGUCAAAGAAUAUGGAGUGAAAAUAUUUUAGGUUAAAUCUAGGAAAUGUAAAGUAUUUAAUUCAAUCUACAGUUGCAAUUAAAUUAUUAUUUUUUGGACAUGUGACAAUAAUACGUUAUCUAUCUUGUAACCAAGUAUUUGUACACAUGUAACAAUGUAACCAGGCUAAUAUGUAUGCACAUGUAACAGUGUAACCAGGCUAGUAUUUCUGCAUCUGAACAAUGUAACCAAGCUAAUAUUUAUGUAUCUGUAACAGAGUAACCUAGCUGAUAUUUAUGUAUCUGCAAUAGAGUAACCAAGCUAAUAUUUAUUCAUCUGACCAAUGUAACCAAGCUAAUAUUUAUGUAUCUGCAACAGAGUAACCAAGCUAAUAUUUCUGUAUCUGCAACAAUGUAACCAAGCUAAUAUUUAUGCAUUUGCAGCAAUGUAACCAAGCUAAUAUUUAUGCAUCUGCAGCAAUGUAACCAACCUAACAUUUUUGCAAUAGGCCAAUUUUCAGAAAUUCAUCACAAAUUCUAGGAUAGAAGCAAUUGUUUCCAUUACCAAGAUCCAAAUAACAUUAUUUUCUUUAAAACGUUUAAACUUAAAACUAAAAUGAUUUCACCGACUAAGAUCUUUCUGGACAUAAGUAUGAUUUAAAUUCCUGUGGUUCACAGAGUUUAUGUUGGCAUGCCGUAAUGUGGAGAGGCUGAUUAAGACUCAUGCGCAGUUCUGCCUGCUGUGGCUGUAAUAUACGGGUUGCUCAGUGCCGUGGACCUCUGCAACAUGUGAGCAUUCAGUUUUCUCUUACCUGCAGGUACAAAUGUUAAUGCCAAAAAUUAAAAAUACGUAAGUCAAAGAUGUAUGCACGUAUAGAGAACAUGUUCUAAAACGCUGAGCCAAAACACUUGCUAGCUCAGUGAAUAUGGCAUGAGAAGAAUGGAGCUUUGUUUAAUUAUAGACUCAUGGUACCUUAAGUGUAUGUAGCAAAUAUAUUAUUUAUAUUACAUAAUUCAUAUUUAUUUCUGUUUGAGAUAACCCAGUGCCAAAAACAGGAUAAUUUGUAUGUUGCAUAAAUGUCACAGAGACAUGUAGGAGAAAUCUACAUUAAAAUAGUUUUUUUUUCCUUCAGGAGGAAAUUAAUUUUACAUGUUCAAAAACACAGUCCAGUCUAUUAACAGAACCCACCAUGAAAAUAUGUAUCUGGUCUAUUUAUUCAAAAAGUCAAAGUAAGGAAGGGCAUUAACCACAGGUUUUGGAAAUGAUGACUAAUCCUCACUUUUAUUUUUUUGUCGGUAUUUUCUCAACAAACAGCCCGUAAAAUUUAAAGCUACUCCUUGUGUCAACAAAAUUAUUUCAUUUUAUUUCUCCAGUGAAUUUGCUGAAUCGUAGGUGAGACCCAUUACUCCUGUUACUUUUGAAAAUGUGAUAACUUGCAAAUCCUACAUUGGAACCUGUGAAAUGGAGUGUGACAAAAAAGAAAUAGCAAAAUACAUUUACCCUUCAAACAUAUAUAAAUACAUCAGGCAUUUAUGAUUGUCAUUCACUACAAAUAAAAUUAAUUCCACAACAAAAUAAAUUACUUUUUGAAUGUAAUAAGAGUGAACCCUCUAGUUAAACAAGUAAUAUAAAGAACUGGUUCAAAAGUGACAAAAACAAUGAUAAAAUGAGUGAAAUGAAAGAACGAUGAUAAAAUUGAAAUUACUGAAAUAAUUGCAGAUAUGCUAAAAAAUGUGAACACCAGCAGGUCCUUUUGUGAAUUCAAUAUUUAUUCACCCUGCAUUAUAAAUACAUUCUUGAAAAAUUCAUAAAUCAUGUAAACCAUACUUUUUAAAGGUUUUGUAAUAUGUUUCAACCAUUAAUCUCAGAGCAUUUCACAAGUAUAUAUACAAGGAAAUAUUUUGGCCAGUGAGAAGACGAAAAGACAUUAUGUUCAAUAUUCAAUUUCCAUAUAAUAAUUUCAUUCUUAAAAAAUAAAUAACACAAAUGCAUAAACAUAUUUAUUGGUAUUAAAUAAUAAUACUAAUAAUAAUAAUAAUAAUAAUAAUACUAAUAAUAAUAAUAAUAAUCAUCAUCAUCAUCAUCAUCAUCCUCAUUAGUACUGAACCCAAGCAAGGGCUAGGCUAGUUAGUAUUGAAGCUAAUCAGGGCUGGGCUUGGUUAGUACUGAAGCUAGUAAUUAUUGCUAUUAUACGUUUUAGUUUGACAGAUAGUUUUGCACCGCACUUCUGAGAGAUAUGCUGUGUCAAGGUGAGAGCAUGCUUUGCGAAUAUUGGACAGACUCAGAAUUUCAUCCUGAGCCAAUGCAGAAUCAAUAUUAUUCCAGGUCAAACCAAACUGGAUUCUCCCUUUCAGGGAGAGAGAAAUGAGCAUCUCUGUCCCAAUCUGUUUUGAUUUUCUUUAAAAUGUUAUUGUAAUUUUUCUGGGUAUAUAUCGAUGCCAAAAUAAUUGAAUGAUGUGAAUAUCCAUUGGCUGUGGUUGAAAUCUCUGCAGUUGCUGCACUGCAUGGUUUUAGUGCUGAAUUUCUAAAACCUGCAGAAGUGAUUGAGCUGCCUUCUCUCUAUAUGUAAUGGUGUUUGAUCAGAGGUGGCAUUUUGUGUGCAAACCUGUCUAACUGUCUAUUUGCACUGACUAGUGCUUCAAUUGAUAAAUAAAAGUGUCAGAUGAGGACUUUUCAAAUGAAUAACCUUUAUGACCCCCUCAGAACUAUACCAGUGUGAUAAAGUCAUCGUCAUCAAUCCCUCUCUUGAACCCAGGUAUUCAAGCGUGGACCAUAAAAUGAGGCCAUUCCCGACAUAGAAAGGCGUUCUCAGUGAGAGAACCACAGGUUAAAUGUCAGAGAUGCUUAGUGAUCUGAGACGUCUGAGGCAAUUAUCCAAGACAUCGAUUUUUAAUAAAAAUGUGCACCCUCUUGACAUCACGGCCAGUGGAGACAGAUUUAAGCUGGUUGCAGUGAGAAGGCCAAUUUAAAAAAGAAAUUCUGUGAACAUUCAUCUCAAUUCAAGGUUCAGCUCCACUGAGAAGAAACAGAGAGGGGGAAAAUAUAUUUGGAAAUAAAAAGGCAAGACCAUUGUUUUCCUUUUAACUUUCUGGCCAUUGCAUUGGUAGUUCAAAUAAUGCAACGUAUUGAUAAUAUUAAUUUCAAUAAUUUGUACAUUUAACAGUAAUCUACUUAAUCUAGAAAAUGCUUGUCUACACAAGCCAUUAUAUUGACAAGAAAAUAGCUUGGCAUGCUUUAGUUCUAUGUAUAGUAAACAGUUAAAUUUGAGUCAAUGAAUUUAGAUUGACUGUGACAAAAUCAUACAAUGAUAAUUAAUCAAAUCUUUGCUUGUAGAACACUUUUCUUACACUGCACAAGUGCUUUACACAGAAAAAGUAUUGCAAAAUAAGAGCAAAAGCUGAAUACAGAAAAUAAACAUUGAAUGAAACAAUGAUAUAAGGAAAAUACUUACAUAGGACUGAAAGCAAGUUUUAAAAGGUAGUUUUUUUUAUUGGUUUUUAAAUAACACUUAAAAAAGAAGGUUGAUAAAAAUCUGGCAAAUGAUUCUGUAAAAGCAGAGACGUUGACGUGAAUACUUUUUCCCCCCUGGUUUAAGCAGUGACAGGGGGGAGGUCUUUUGUUGAGGAUUUAAAGCAGUGAGAUAGGCUGUGUGUUUUUAAGAGAUCAGCGCUAUAUUCUGCAACAAGACCAAGCCUUGCCUUAAAAGUGAAAAUAACGUUUUAAAACCAAAUCUAAAAGAAACUGGAAGCCAGUGUAGUGAAACCAGGAGGGGCGUUAUAUGAGAUGUCUUAUUUACUUUAGUGAGAAAAUAAUAAUGCAUAAAAUAGAUAAACAUAAACACAAUCUAAUCUUUCAGAAAGUGUCUAUUCACCAUAGAGGGAGUUGAUGGACAGUGACAUUAAUCAGUGAAAUAGGGUCAGCCGUCUUAUGAGGAAGUUAAUUCUUUCAAUGGUAUACCAUUAACACACAAACCACUUCAGUAAAUUAGCUGGAAACACAUUCACUAACUUGCUAAACUGUAAAUUUCCUAUUUAAUUUACAUAAAAAUUUAGCGUUUAUGAUCAGUAACAUUUUUGAAAAAGGCCAUGGUGCAGAACACACUUACAGGAAUGUUAAUCUCUCUGACCUGACCUGUAGGUGAACUCUCAGGCUCAAAGAUUAUGGGUCUGCCCUGCUCAGUUCUGCAGGACUAUAUGAACAAAAGACACAUUUCACGUUGUUGACACAUUGCUGUUCUAAUAAUACGGCAGAUACAGGAAAGAAGUAUUCAAAUAUGACUUUGUGUAAUGGAAACAAUUGCUUCUAUCCUAGCCUAACGCAGGAAGGUAAAAGCUGUGUGGAAAUAAGUCGUGCAUAAAAUGUGCAGGUUCUGGUGCAGUUUGGUUAUCUAUGAGAAGCUAGCGCAAAUAGCAUAUAGCAGGAGUCUAAGGUAUUUGAGAAAUAAAACUGAACAAUAUCCUGUGAAAGUUUGACAGACAGGAAAUGGAGUGGCCACUGACGGAGCAUCAGAGUGUCAGAGUAUCAGUCACUGCAGGAAGAGGAGCACUGACAGUGUCAGAGUAUCAGUCACUGCAGGACGAGGAACACUGACAGUGUCAGAGUAUCAGUCACUGCAGGUAGAGGAGCACUGACAGAGCAUCAGAGUAUCAGUCACUGCAGGUAGAGGAGCACUGACAGAGCAUCGGAAUAUCAGUCACUGCAGGAAGAGGAGCACUGACAGUGUCAGAGUAUCAGUCACUGCAGGUAGAGGAGCACUGACAGAGCAUCGGAAUAUCAGUCACUGCAGGAAGAGGAGCACUGACAGUGUCAGAGUAUCAGUCACUGCAGGAAGAUGAGCACUGACAGUGUCAGAGUAUCAGUCACUGCAGGAAGAGGAGCACUGACAGAGCAUCAGAGUAUCAGUCACUGCAGGAAGAUGAGCACUGACAGAGCGUCAGAGUAUCAGUCACUGCAGGUAGAGGAGCACUGACAGAGCAUCAGAAUAUCAGUCACUGCAGGUAGAGGAACACUGACACAGAGUCAGAGAGGCCACUGACACUGGCUGCUAGGAGUGAAGGCCAUAGAAAUCCCUCAGCCAAUAAUGACCAGAUCAGUUGGGUUUCAUCUAUAAACCCAAACUCAUGUCUGAAAUGUGAUCUUAUCAUAUUGGAGUACUAAACACACAUACACACACACACACACACACAUACACAUAGACGCCAACACACAGAUACACGAACACACGUACGUAUAUACCCACACAAAUACGCAUACAAACACACAUACGUAUACUUGGGUACCGACAUGUAUGCACACACACCCAUACACAUACAUGCACGCACACACAUGCAUGGACUCAUUCAUGUGUAAUUUAAAAACUCUUUUUUUUCAUAAGCCAGACUUACAUGUACUGUUUCUGUGUUGAAUCAGCCUAACGUGAUCAAAAUUGGAUGUAAAAAGAGGUGUCCAAUCCAGUUAUUAGUAUCCUAACCUUCAAAGCAGAAAUGUGUGCGAGAAUGACAAAGAGAAACUUGAAAGUUGUUUUUCGAUGCUUUGAGAGCUAUUAUGCUUUCUGUGGGCAAAAUAAAAUAUGUUUAUGUUUUUCUCCUAAGUAUGGUAAUUUCCCAUAUUUUGUAACACAAUCGUAAAAUUGGUUUUGAAACAAAAUCCCCGACAUAACGGAAAGAAUAUUCUUUCAAGUACGACAAGACUACAUAAUAGUCACCUAUUCUCUUAAAAUGGAAACACAUGUAGAUUACUUCAUGUCAGUUUUAGAAGUGCAAAACACGCUCUCUCUGCAAUGGGAAUAUUUGUGUAC